rnacentral:misc_RNA from 1 species
ACAACUGGACAGACGCCUUCUAGUAUUCCCACUGAUACAGGUAAGGUACUCGUAGAUGAUGCAGCUGAGGAGGAACUUUGUGCUGGCUGAGCAGGAAUUGCAGCAAAUACAUCUCCAAAAAGUGAUUCAGAGGCGAAGCCAUUCCCUGAAACUUUAGAAUCCUUAGUUGCUGAUUGGUUGGAGGCCACAGCAGCCUCUUGAGGUUUUGGAAUACUAGAAGGCGUCUGUCCAGUUGUCAACUGUGGUCUAGGUUGGACAGAGGGCAUCAAACCUGAUGCUGUUAGCCCAAAUCCAUCCUGAGUUGGAGGAGGACUAAUCUCCCUACUUUGAUUUUGGGUAGUUGGGACACCUAGACCACCACCAGCCCAAUCAGUUGAGACAUUUGAAUUUGAAGGGCGAGGAACAGCCAUGGUACUACCCCUAGGCACAGCUUGGCUUGCAGGAACUAGUUGUGGAUGAGACACAGAGUUGGAAGGCAUAGCUUGGGAUGGCCUCACAAAUUGACUUUGCUGAGAUGAGAAAUAUUGCUGGUUUGUGCUUGCAUUUCCAGGCAUCUGUGGUGGUCUGAUACCAAAGUUUUGAGGUGCCACUGACGUGGUACCAGCCAUUUGAGGAGCAGGUGUUACUGCUUUAGGAGCAGGUGUGGCUGCAAGGUUUAUCUGAGGAGCAGGAAUUUUCGCUGAAGCAGGACCAUAUAAUGCUGCCUUCACUAUAUCUGGAGUCAGCUCCCGCUUACUUUGUGCCACAGUAACAAGCUU